rnacentral:rRNA from 1 species
AUGAGCAGCCGAAGCCCGCCGCCGAGGGACCGGAGGAUGCGUACUGAACGCACCUUGUACCGUGACGCGCCAUACCGGAGAGACAGGGACGGCCGCCGUGGUCCAAACAGGUCUGCUAGUGAUUUGUGCAACAACUGUAAGCGUCCAGGGCAUUUUGCUAGAGAUUGUCCAAAUGUGUCUGUCUGCCAUGCCUGUGGCCUUCCAGGGCACAUUGCAGCUGAGUGUUCUUCCAAAGAUCUCUGCUGGAACUGCAAAGAGCCUGGACACAUGGCUAAUGCCUGCCCGAACGAAGGGAUAUGCCGCAACUGUGGCAAAUCAGGCCACAUUGCAAAAGACUGCACUGCUCCGCCAAUGCUGCCUGGAGAAGUGAAGCUCUGCAACAACUGCUACAAACCAGGGCACAUUGCCGUGGAGUGCACCAACGAGAAGGCCUGCAACAACUGUAGGAAGAGUGGCCAUCUUGCCCGUAACUGCACCAAUGAGCCUGUUUGCAACCUCUGCCAUGUUGCAGGGCAUUUGGCCCGUCAAUGCCCCAAAUCUGACGAGAUCAACGAGAGGGGUGGGCCUCCUCCCUUCCGUGGCGGCGAUGCUCUGUUCCGUGGCGGUGAUGCUCUGUUCCGCGGUGGUGAUGCUCCCUUCCGUGGUGGCGAUGCUCCCUUCCGCGGUGGCGGUGGUGCUCUCUUCCGUGGUGGCUACAGUGACGUGGUCUGCCGGGCCUGCAACCAGGUUGGCCAUAUGAGCCGUGACUGCAUGGGUGGCGCCUUCAUGAUCUGCAACAACUGCGGUGGCCGUGGUCACAUGGCUUACGAAUGUCCAUCUGGGAGGCUCCUGGACCGGUUCCCUCCACGCCGAUACUGA